CUGACCUUAGCUCAGUUGGUAGAGUGGUGGACUGUAGUUGGACUAAUCUAAAUUGGAAAUCCUUAAGUCGCUGGUUUGAUUCCGGCAGGUUGGA
rnacentral:tRNA from 1 species